CACCGCGGUUAUACGAGAGACCCUAGUUGAUAGUAUCGGCGUAAAGAGUGGUUUAGAGAAUAUAAAGAACUAAAGCCAAAGUUCUCUUAGGCCGUCAUACGCACUUCAGAGACACGAAGCCCUAGCACGAAGGUAGCUUUAUUAUUUACCUGACCCCACGAAAGCUGAGGAA
rnacentral:rRNA from 1 species